UGUCUUCCACUCUUUUCUCAAGCCCAGUAAGUAUCCUUAUGAUCACUGCUUUAAAUACUCCCAUCAGGCAUGUUACUUAUAUUUGUUUUGCUUAGGUCUUCAGCUGUGGCCUUGUCCUGUUGCUUCAUUUGGGAUAAAUUCCUCUGUCUCCUCAUUUUGCUUAUGUCUCUGUGCCUGUUUCUGUUUGUUAGGCAAGUCAGCUGAGUCUCCUGUUCUUGAGGGGAAUGGCCUUAUGAAGAAGAGGUGCUGUAGUGCCCUGCGGUAUAGCGUCACCUGUUCCCGAGGACCUGGUGCUUCCGGGAGUGCCUCUAAGAUGCAUACUGAAGUAUUCACUGGUAAAAUGAUAUCUGGGAUUUGCUGCAAAAUACUUCAGCAGAGAAAACCAAAAAGGAAGAGGGGAAGAGCAGAAUGUUGACAACUGCUGAAGCCGAUGCACAGAUGCUCUUUGAAAAUUCUCGCUAUCUUUGUAUUUGUAAAAUUUUCAUAAUAAAUUUUAAAUUUAAUAAUCCCA